AUUGAACGCUGGCGGCAUGCCUUACACAUGCAAGUCGAACGGCAGCACGGGAGCAAUCCUGGUGGCGAGUGGCGAACGGGUGAGUAAUAUAUCGGAACGUGCCCAGUCGUGGGGGAUAACGCAGCGAAAGUUGUGCUAAUACCGCAUACGAUCUAUGGAUGAAAGCGGGGGAGUCGCAAGACCUCGCGCGAUUGGAGCGGCCGAUAUCAGAUUAGGUUGUUGGUGAGGUAAAAGCUCACCAAGCCUGCGAUCUGUAGCUGGUCUGAGAGGACGACCAGCCACACUGGAACUGAGACACGGUCCAGACUCCUACGGGAGGCAGCAGUGGGGAAUUUUGGACAAUGGACGAAAGUCUGAUCCAGCAAUGCCGCGUGCAGGACGAAGGCCUUCGGUUGUAAACUGCUUUUGUACUAGAACGAAAAGUACUUUAAUAACACUAGAGGCGUCAUGACGGUACUGUAAGAAUAAGCACCGGCUAACUACG
rnacentral:rRNA from 1 species